GUGAAGGAAUGACUAGUGAAAGAGUGAGAGGGGGUGACUAGUGACAGAGUGAGGGAGGGAGUGGGUGACUAGUGACAGAGUGAGGAAGGGGGUGACACAGUGACAGAGUGAAGGAGGUGGUGACUGUCACUAGUCACCCCAUCCCUCCCUCUGUCACUAGUCACUCCCUCCCUCCCUCCCUCUGUCACUAGUCACUCCCUCCCUCACUCUGUCACUAGUCACUCCCUCCCUCUCUCUGUCACUAGUCACACCCUCCCUCAC